rnacentral:rRNA from 1 species
UUGCCUCAGUAACGGCGAGUGAAGCGGCAACAGCUCAAAUUUGAAAUCUGGCCCCAGGCCCGAGUUGUAAUUUGCAGAGGAUGUUUCUGGCGAGGCACUUUCCGAGUUCCCUGGAACGGGACGCCAUAGAGGGUGAGAGCCCCGUACGGUUGGUCGCUAAGCCUCUGUGAAACUCCUUCGACGAGUCGAGUAGUUUG